UCAGCUCUCUUUGCCAAAUGGCUUAGAUCAAGUGUAGUAUCUGUUCUUUUCAGUUUAAUCUCUGAAACGUCCUCUACUGGAGGCGAAUUUCGUGGUUAUUCUUAUUUUUGGUUCUCUGGGCGGAAGCGUUCCUCUGCGCUUGCGCAUGGUGCUUCUGCUCACUGUGUCCCUGGUAUUACACUGCUUCCGGGUGACGCGACCUUUU
rfam:Trichoderma atroviride IMI 206040 TRIATcontig_19, whole genome shotgun sequence.